UAGAGAGCAUUGGUUUCAGCAAAAACAAGGUAUGUGCAGACAGAGCGAUGAGGAGAGAAAGGGCAGCGAACAUUCCAGGCAGACAAAACAUAACAUGUUUGGUUGAGAAACUCAUAAUUUUUAUUUAAAAUAUUUCUGCAGUGGGUGGGAGUGGGGUGUUAGGAUCAAGAUGGUGGAGUAAGAGGACAUGGAGCUCACCACUCCCCAAAUGAACACAUCAGAAUACAUCUAUCUGAAAACUAACUGGAGACUGGCAGAAGGACCCCUGUACAACCGAUUCUGUCAGAGAUACACAAAGAAGCCAAUACGAAGGGAAGAAAAGCUAUCAGGUUGGGACCUGUGCCCCUGGGAGAGCACUGAAAGGGGGGUUAGGUGGAUGGAGGUCUUCCAAGGGGAGUGAGUUGUUCCAGCCACAGGUUGAGUGUCCCAAUCCGGAGGUCCCGUGAAGGAGACCAGCUCCCUUGACUGGAUGGAGGACUGCUAACAGAAGAGCUAGCAGGCAGCACAGAGGGAGUUCUGUGCCAGUGGCUGCUGUGUUUCCUACAACUACCCCACCGUAAGUCCUAACCAAGCCACACUAAUGCUUCAGCCCUGCUCCCUCCACAUCACAGUAAAUCUGCAAUCAGCUACUUUUUAAUUAUUGUAGAUCUAAUGAUUAAGGAGUACCUUGCAAUAAUUUUCCUUUCCUCCAAAAUAUUUGGGCUGUCCAUAUAUAUCUUCCCAAGUGUGUCAUCAACUUGGAUGUGUUUUACUCUAUUUUGCCUGAUAAUAGUCUGUGGUAUGCUACGAAUAAACCCGUGGUUGAAUAAACUCAUAAGUAACUUGAAGUGUCUGCAUUAAAAUCUAGAGAAUUUAUGGUAUACUCGACAUGACAUGUAACUUUUAAAAUAUAUUUAUUGUGGCAGUUUUAAUGGAAAAAUGUAAAGCUUUGGAAGAAAAUGUCAUCUAGUUUUAUCCUGUGGUUGGUGUCGAGAACAACAUCAGGGUCCGAAUAUCUGGAUGUUCUUCCACAAUAAUGUUUAGUAGCUCCUGUGUAGGCUUUAUAGUUGGGACUCAUUAGGUCUCUGUUAAUUUACCGGUUAUUUGAUACCUCUUCCUGAAAACAACUUAACUGCAGUUUUGCUCUUGGAAGGCUAAAUUGAUGAAAUAAUUUAUGGUAAAAUUUUUGUCCGUUUAUCAGAUAGAAGAACUCAUAAAUCUUCCUUUUUAUGGAACCUGUAAAUUUUUACAGCAUAUUUCACUGGAAUGAAUGAAUAUGGGGUCUGAAGAACAUUAUUUUAUUUCUGGUCUAUCCCUUACUUCCUGUGUCUCUUUGAGCUGGUUCCUUUUUUACUGUCACUAACAUCAUCUUUAUACUAUCUGGAGAUAACAUUUUCUUGAAUACUACUGAGAUCUAUACUGCUCUCUCUACAAGAAUAUAGCUCUUUCCUUUUGUCUACCCAACUCCUACUAAGUACAAUUUUCUUUCCAGAAGUCUUCACCAAUUAGGCAAAUUAUGUGCAAAAAGAUGUAUUAUCUUCAGAGCAUCAAUAUUGGAAAUAGUACUGCCUUCUCAUUUCGUAUUUACUGAACAUAUAGAGAAUCCGUGGGAUAUAAAUCCUCAAAUCCUUGAGAAUUUAUCACAGUGGGCAAAUAUGAAUUCAGUUGAUAAUAAGAAGCUUAUAUGAUUUAGCUAUAGAGAAAUCCAAACAUAAAGUGAGAGAUAAUAUAAUAUGAAAUGAUACAGAAUGCCUCUUUGUAAUGGCAAAACAAUAAAAUAGAUUACCUUUACUUUAAUUAAGUAUAAGAGUGUAGAUUUGGUUCUGUUCUGAUAUUGAAAUUUUUCUCAUACCUAAUUUUUAUAUGAUCUUUAGUGUUUUUUGUCAGAAUGAUUUUGUCAGAAUGAUGUAUGAUUUCUCUAGGAAUUACAUUUAUUUAGGGAGAGAUGUAUGUACAGGAAAAAAACCUCUCCUAGAAGUUACAUGAUAUUUGCUCUAAAGUUUCAGAAACAUAAGAAAAAAAUGCAUUAUUCAAUAGAAUUUUCUUGGGACCCUUCUAUGCUCAAGGCAGAGUAAUAAGCAAAGGUUCUAUUCUUAAAGAAGAUAUAAUUAAGUUUUCAGAACAAAAAAGGUAUGAUUCAUAUUCAUAAUUUUGUUUGCCAUGUCUUCUUUCUCACUCAACUCUUUACUUUUUCCAUUAUACUAUAUAAAGAUGAGGCUUUUCCAUAAUGUAUAGGAAAGAGACCAUUACAAGUUUCCUGAUUUUUCUCCCUUUGCUUACUAAAUUUCAACUUAAUCUCACAAAAAUCUUCCUAAGAAGCAAAAAAGUAUUUAUUAAUAAACACCCAGUAAGGUUUAUCAUUAAACUCUUCUCCCAAGUAGUGUUGCAGACUCCCACAUUUGGUCUCAAGAUACAGUUGCUUCAACUCUUUAUCUGUGAGAAAACAAUCCUCACUAUUGAUCAUAUGUGAAUUCCUGAGGCAUGAUCUUACUCCAAACAUUCAUGAUGCAAUUUCUCCUUAAUGAAAUUCCUACAUUUGAGUUUCUGACCCAACGAUUCACAGGAUAGUAUGAUUCCUACUUUUUUAAAGCCUAUUCCUAGGUCUGGGACAAUGGUGUGCUUUUGCCUGGCUCCCUCUUAUUGUGUUUCUUUUUAAAGAUCUUUAUUUUUCUGUUGUCCUGGAUAGCCUCUAUUUACUUGGACCCUGAUACUGAUGAUAGUUACUAGCUUGCUUAAAUUUCUGAGUGUCUCUCUUUUGCAUUUCCCAUCUCAAUAUUUAAGGCAUACUUUGGAAAACUGUAUUAGAUAAGAUACUUUGGGCAAUGCCAGAAAAAAGCAAACAAAUAACUCUCAAACUAAGAGAAAUGUGUUGGCUUAAAAACGGAAAAUCCAAAGAUAAAUCUAUAUUUAAGUUGGAUGUAGAAAUUUAGCAAUACCAUCAUUCCUGGCUUCUGCAGUUCCCUGUGACUUCCAGGAUGAUUUCUUCAUCCCAGGAAUCUGCAUGGUUUUCCCAGUCCCACCAGCAACUCUGUAUAGUCCUAUGUGGUAGCAAAAUUUCUCCAAAGAGAAGUCUAGCUUUCACAUCAUUUGUUCAAGAGUAGAGAAAGAGCCUCUUUCUGAAGUCUCUGCAAAGUCCGUGGAUUUCCUUCACUGGUCUCAAUUAGAUUUAUGUCUAUUUCUAAACCAAUUAUUGGUUUUAAAGCAGUAGUUGCAGUGAAAUUUUAAGCCAUUCAGCAUCCUCUGCUAGAGCUAGGGUGGGAUCAAUUACACAAGUUUGUGAGAUUUUCUUCUAAAGAAUACCAGAGAAAAAAAAUCUAGAUGCUACAGAAGUGAACCAGUGUCCCUAAAAGUGGGCUGCAACUGUCUGCAGAAGGUGAUUAAGUUACCAUGCCUUUCUAGGCCUCUUGGCUUGCCCACUGAACUCAAUGUUAUUGAUACUUCGUUCAUCUGGGAAUUUGCCCCCAAAACAGGCCCUGACAUAGGCGGUAAGUCUUUAUCAUCUUCUAACCCUCUUUUACACCCUCCCUCAUUUGCUUCAAUUAAGUCACUAGAGUCAGUAAUGAAUAAGAAAAUUCGGAACUCAUGAAUGAGGACAGUGGUUCAAGUCCAGAUAAUAAGAUCAACUGGUGAAAGAGCAUCUCCAGACAUUCACAUGGAUCAAGAAAGAACUACAGAGAUGUGGUGCCCUCAACAGGUAUUAGUGAUUCUAGACCUUUGCUAUUGAAGUGAUUUGAAGUAGCAACUGAAUUUCUUUGGAAGCUAUCUCCAGACUUUAUGUUUUGAAAAGUUCAGUGCUUGUUUUUUAACCUUCAUAUUUUCUACAUUAUAAAAAGUGUUUGAGAAAACUCCUUCCUUAUUUCUCACUGCAAUUAUUUGAUGAUUUUGAAGUCUUAGUACUUAAAUAAGAGGAAGUUGUAGAAGAGCAUGCUAUUUUCCAAUAGCAGCAAUAGUUUAAACAAAUAUUCAAAUGUUUUUGAAAAUAAAUGUAUUUAUUGAUAAAAUAUUCUUAGAGAUAAGUGAUUUUUAUUUAUAAAACUGAACUUCAUAUAGCAAAUUAAAUAUAAAUUAUUCAGCAAGUGUCUAAUAUUUGUUUUAUAUUCACAGAAUAUUAAUUUUUCAUUUGUUUCACUAGACAAAUGAAAAAGCAUUUAUUGAUUCUUGGCAAAUGCACCACUUUUGCAUAAAGAAUGGACAAAGAAAACAUACACCAUAUAUGCAUUCAAUUUGUACAUGUAUUUGAGUAGCAGAAAAGCAUAAACAUUCAAAUAUAAUAGAAAAUACAAUAUAAGAAUAAAAUAUGGGUGGCAUCCUGACCAAGCCUUAAAAUAGUUUAGAUAAUAACAGUUAUUAAACUAUUUCUACUAACAAAAACAGAUGUAUGGAUUUAAAAUAAUACAAUUUUAGGAGUUCAACUGGUGAAAAAGCAUGACUACAAAACUAGUAAAUAAAUUAAUUAAAAAUCAUUAUUUAAAUAAUGUGAAUUAAAGGGCAUUAAUUAAAACAAAUUCCAAUUAAACGUAUUUGUAAAACUAUUCUAAAUGUACACAAAGCGAGUUCCUUGACUUUCAAAAUUGUUCAGGAAAUUAGUCCCCCCAAAAUCGGCUGCUUGAAUUAUAAAAUAUAAAACUUCCAAAUACAAAUACCGGAGUAACUACAAAGAGUACAAAGAAGUAGUGUUUAGAAAUAGACAAGCUGGAAUCAAUGUUCUCCCUAUUUUUUUUUUUUUCUCUUUUUAUGCCCAUACACUGACUAUAUGGAUGUUCCUGGGCUAGGUAUCUAUUCAGAGCUAUAGCUGUGGGCCUGUGCCACAGCUAGAGCAACACUGGAUCCAAGCCACACGUAUGAGCUGUGCCACAGCUUGCGGCCACACCAGAUCCUUAACCAACUAAGUGAGGUCAGGGAUCAAACUAGCAUCCUCGUGGAGACUGUGUUGGGUUCUUAACCCACUGAGCCAAAAUGGGAACUCCAGUGUUCUUUUUUCCACCUAGCUUUCUUUUUAAUGUUGCUAAAUAAAACAUACACGGUAUGAUUCAAUUUGUAGCUUUUUUUCUGACACUUGUUCUGACCUUUCUUUGCCUUCAAUGUCAGCCAUGAUACAUAGACAUGAAUAUAGCUCCUAUACUUUCAAAUACAAACUUGUACUAUACUAUAAUAACUUUUGACAUUCCUAGCCAUUUCAACAUUCUAAUAACUAAAUAGUUUAAAGGUAACAGUCAAAAAGCAUGAACAACACUUUGAUUAACUAUGUCUUGAUGUUUUAAAACUUGAGGAGUCUAAUCUGAAAUAUCCUUCAUCAUAACCUAGGUAGAUAAGGGGAGAGUGAGACUUCAAUAGCCCACUAGACAGGUUGGAUGACAGCCAGAUGAGGCAAUGUUCUAACGGCUGUCAGUGACCUUGGCGUGAAUUUUGCAAAGGUACAAAUUUCUCUGUCUCAGACAGGCAGUUCUGUGAUUAAGUAAGUAAGCACACCCACGGAGCUACAGAGCUUGAUAAACACAUGUUGGCUGUAAACAAUAUCCUUUCUCUAAGGGACUUUUCGUAGAAUGCUGACUAUGGAGCAAGAUUUAUGGUAUAAUAGUCUGUAUCUCAUAUGUUAGAAGCGCUCCAAUAACUGGAGUGAAUUUAUGCAACUUAGAUUAAAUAGUGAAAAAAACAAAACCUUGUAGCUUUCCGUUCGCUUGAAGCAAGAUAUAAUUCUUUUACUUUUCUUUAAUGUUGCUUCCUUUGAGCAAUGUUCCCUUUUAACCAUAUAGGAAAAAAAAAUCAAGAAAUGGACACAGUAAGCAAGUACAUAUGUCAGUGUAUUUGUCAAAGAAGAGUUCUCAUUUUCCCUGGAUGUUUAUAGUCUGCGACAAACAUAAAAUUUCUUGAGUAGAAUACUAAAUAAAUUUAUGAGUGAUUCUUAGCUAAAGAAAUAUUGGAGUGGACAAAAGUCAAAUAAUUAGACAGCUAUACAUCCAGUCAUGGAUAUAGGGCCUAAUGGGAGGGAGCAAUAUUGUGAGUGGACAUAGUAGGAUAUCUGUGAGGUAAGAUAAUAAAUGCAAUUUAUUUUUCAUCUAAGUGAGUUUUCUCAUUUGGUUCUUUUUGAAACUCUUACAAACUAGCUAAGCCAGAGAACAAUACAGACUAGACUUUUUAACCAAACUAGUGUCUAAUGGAAUGCUUGUUAUUUAAUAAGCUUAUACUAAAACAUAGACCAAAUAUACAGAUUAUGGCAACUGAAUAAAUAAAAGGCUUCAUAAAUAAAGGUCCAGUGUGUGUAUGUCUAUGUCUGUGUAAAUUUUAUGUGUGUGCAUAUGUUGUUGCAGAAAUUGGAAGAUACGCUUAGCAAAGAGAUAGUAAGCCUGACUUUCAAAGGCACCAGUAUGAGUUUCAUUUAUUUCAAUUUUUUUAAACCAAUGAAUUUUAAAAUUGUAUUUUAUUUAUAUUUUUGAGUUAAAGAUUUCUUUAUUUUUAUUUUAUGUAAAUUUUAUUGGCGCUUAGUUGACUUACAAUGUUGUAUAGUUACAGAUAUACAGCAAAGUGAAUCAGUUAUACAUAUGCAUAUAUCCAUUCUUUUUUUCCCAUAUAGGUUAUUACAGAAUAUUGAGUAGAUUUCCGUGUGCUAUACGGUAGGUCCUUAUUAGUUAAUAUUCAGUCUGGCAAUGAGCAUAGAAUAAGACAUACAUUAAUCAUUAAUUAAGUAAAGAAAGAAAAGAUGAAUGAAUUAAGAUUCAUAACAAUCCUAUAGAAUUUUAACUAUUAUUGAUUACUACAUAAAACUGGUUUAUUAUAAUACAACUAAUAAGCCCACUUUAAAACAAUGGUUAGCUAAGUAAUUGCUUAGAGAAUUGAAAAAUUAAACCCAUGAAUAUCACAAUCUGUGGACAUAGCAGGUAUUAUCCUUUAGAGCUAUGUCCUUAGCCUGAAAAUAUUGUUAUAUUAUCAAAAUAUUUUCAGUAAGAUAUAGAAUGGUGCACUUUGGGUACAAAUGCCAAAAUCUAGACAGAAGGAGCUAGGAUUUCUUGUGACUUUGAAACACUGGGGGAUAAUCAGUGAUGUUGUAUUCACAAGGGAUAUGUGUGGUAGAAGAUAGCUUACUAGGCACAAAUCAUGUUGGUGUGAAACCAGGUAAUGUGAAUAAGCAGUGUGAUUUUACUGAAAGCUCUGAAUCUUAUGUAUUGUUUUUUUUUUUUUUUAAACAGUGGCAUUUGUUCAUUUUAAAACAAACAACAACAACAAACCACUUGAAUGUUCUUCUAGCAGGAUGACUACAAGUACAUAUUGAAAAACAAGUAUCAGUUUGAAUAAAAAUGAGUGUGCAGUUUAAUUCUUACUUUUCAAAAUUGAUGGGAUGGACAUGUGUAAGACUCAGAGAUACCAACUAAAAUGAUUAAUGUCCUGAAAACCAGGACCUCUGAAGAAGGGUUCAAGGAGUUACUGACACUUAGUUUGAGAAAA
rnacentral:lncRNA from 1 species